rnacentral:rRNA from 1 species
GAUGAACGCUGGCGGCGUGCCUAAUACAUGCAAGUCGAGCGAACAGAUAAGGAGCUUGCUCCUUUGACGUUAGCGGCGGACGGGUGAGUAACACGUGGGUAACCUACCUAUAAGACUGGGAUAACUUCGGGAAACCGGAGCUAAUACCGGAUAACAUUUGGAACCGCAUGGUUCUAAAGUGAAAGAUGGUUUUGCUAUCACUUAUAGAUGGACCCGCGCCGUAUUAGCUAGUUGGUAAGGUAACGGCUUACCAAGGCAACGAUACGUAGCCGACCUGAGAGGGUGAUCGGCCACUGGAACUGAGACACGGUCCAGACUCCUACGGGAGGCAGCAGUAGGGAAUCUUCCGCAAUGGGCGAAAGCCUGACGGAGCAACGCCGCGUGAGUGAUGAAGGGUUUCGGCUCGUAAAACUCUGUUAUUAGGGAAGAACAAAUGUGUAAGUAACUGUGCACGUCUUGACGGUACCUAAUCAGAAAGCCACGGCUAACUACGUG